UACAUAUGUAUGCGGGGUAUUCCAUGAGUAAGUGAAACUUUGUGUCCAAUUGUAGAGUAGCUUAUUGAACAUGGAAUGCUUGAUGAAUCAAUGCUCAAUACCUGAAAUUAACGUUUUUUCGAAAAAAAAUUUAGUUAUAUUAUUUUAUUACACUGUAAAUACACUCAAAACUUCAACAUUAGAAAAGUAGUUGAAUACGACAACAUAUUUUAAUAUAGAAGGCUCUGCAAAAUCAAGUAUUCACAAAGUUAUUAUUUUUUUGAAGGGGGGAAUAAAUGUCUCGAUCUUUCUGCGCCCCGAAGAAGCAAUAUGGCAUUGAAGAAAAAUAGGCAUUUAAAUUAUAUAAUAGGAUAAAAUCACUACGGUUUAGCAUGUCCAACCCGUGACUAAAAAGUUUUAAACUUCGUAUUGCUUAGUUACUACUUUAGGGAGUUUUCUAUAAUUUCAUAACUAGAGUGUGUUUAUACUAAGCAGCCCUAUUUCAUUUCUUUUAUUAUAUUAUAAGUACCUACUUAAGAGAUUUUGAAACGUUUUAUCGUGUCCCGCCCGUGACAAUCAUUUAUAAUUUUUUUCUAAUGAUGCCUAACAAUAAAAAAAUAAGUUUAACGUUUCAAACCUAUGUUUAAUGCCACAAAACUCUGAAGUACAGGUUGACUAAACACCAUAAUACUGUUGGUGGGCUAAGCGAUGUAGUAAAAAAUUUCGCGUGGCCAGCUCGAAAAGUCAAGAUAAGCAUUACUAUCUUAGAGACGCCAGAGAAUUCUAUGAUGAGGGUUGCUUAACAACAAUUAAAAGUCAAUAUUAACAAUUACCUGAAAAGUUCCAACCAAGAAAAUCUAGAAGUUCGCGAAACUUAUAAAUUCAAUCCAAUAAAUAGCCUUUAAGUGACAAAGAUAUACAUAUGUAUCUGCUUACAAGUAUUCUAAUGCAGAUAACUUUUCGGAUUAGACAUCGAUACACAAGAUCUUUUCUGACGUUCUAUGGUUUUAAGGAAUAGCUAAAUUUGAGCAUGAUUUGUCCAUGAAAUCAGUUUCCAAAAAUAACUCAACUCGAGCCACUCUUAAGCCGGUUACUCAAUGUCUGGUCAACACUAACAGCAGGUUAGACAUCUCUAUCGACGUGAUAACAGUAGUCGAUAUACAUGUUUAGCCUGUAGUUAGUAUUAGUCAGACAUACAUAGCUAUUCUAAACAAACUUGAAAAUCAUUAAGGCACAUUCGAAAUUUCGUUGCAAUCAAAUGCACCGUGCAGAAGUGCAUUAGGAAAAUGCAUAUAAAAUUUCAUGCGUUUGCAAAUAAUCCUUUCUUCCAUGCAUUUUAAUACAUCAAUCUGGCGACUUCUAGCUUUCGUUUGGUAUAACUAUUGCCCCUAAAAUAGAUCCUGGGGUCAGCAGUAUAUCGUGCGUCUUACAAUGACUCCACUGUCAUAAAAGUAGGUCAAUUGAUCUUGUAUUUGACCUCUAACAUUUAUCAUACCUAAUCUCUUUGAUAUGGAUCUCACUAGAAGCUUCCUUUCAUGAAGAAAAUCGUACGUGUCCCACCCGUGACAAAAGUUGUCCCACCCGUGACAGGAGAAUUUUGAAUUUUUUAAUAAUAAACAAAUAAUUCUUAUUAUGGUUUGUGCUUUGUUGGGAUUGCUGGUUCUUUUCUGUAUAGUAAAACAUCUAAUCCAGAUAGAAAUGUUAAGUAAAUUCACAGACUUUCCUUAAAAUAUAUGUUCUCCAAAAAGCAGUGUCUUUUCUUUGUCCUACCCGUGACGGAAGAAACAGCUCAGAAUUUUCCAAUAUAAAAUCAAGUUGGAAUAUUUUUCGUAUUUGGUAAUAACUCGUAUAUUAGUGAACUAGGUGUAGCUUUAUCAAAAUGUAGAAUU